UGCCUCAGUUUUCUCGUCUGAAAUCUGAUGACGAGAGUGCCUACCCCACAGCAUUCUUGAGAGGAUCAGAUGGGGCCACCAUCCAUGGGAAACCCCUGGUACCAUGCUCAGCACAGAGGAAGUGCCGAAGCAACACCAUCAUCAGGGGUGGGCCAAGAGGAGAGGAAGAAACAGCUGGGUGAGGCCCCAGCCAGCCUGCUUCGCUCACCAUUCCCUGCCUGGUUCCUGGAACCUUUGAGUGUGAGACCCCUGGCCCUCCAGUUCUGAGGUUCGGAAUCUCUACAUCUGUAUGAGCCCCCUGUGCUCUGCCUGGAGCUGGAAGAAAUGAGGCACAGAAGGAAAAAGGAGUUAACAGGACUCACAGCCAGACCCAGACUGGGGAUACAAUCCAGGAACACACAAACCACCGAAUUUAUUGUGAAAAGUUUUCUUUUGUGUUGCUAUUAAUAAGUA
ensembl:lncRNA